ACAGACACUGCUUGGUCCAUCACCUGAUACACAGAGUUAUAUAGAAAAAUUGAAGAGAGAAGAACAAGAGAGGGCCAAAGGUCAAACAGAGGACAAAAGGUCAUUUUUGGCCAAAUAUUGGAUGUACAUAGUCCCUGUCGUGUUAAUAAUGAUGUUGUCAGGGGGCGGGGAUCAGCAAGGAGGGGGAGGCGGCGGAGGAGGUGGACAAUGAACAAAGGUCAAAGGGCACCAGGAAGGUGAAGGACAUUCCAAAACAACCUGAUAUUUUGAACUUUUCAAUGAUAAUGAAAAAUUAUAUCGUCUGAAAUAAAUCAUUUGAGGAAAAAAUAAUGCUAGAACUGGAAUGAAGUGAACUGGUCAAGUUAAUUUGCAAUGUCACUGCCUGUUGUUAAAUGUAUGUACUAAGCUGUAAUUGUUACAAGAAAGGGACAAAGAUGUUUUGUAUGUUUAAGAGUACUAUGUAUUUACUAGUGCGCCAGAAAAAAGUGUUUUUAUUAUGUUGUGUACAAAUGGAUGGAAUCUAAUGUUGUGUGUGUAAGAUGUCCUUUGAAAUGACAAAAGCCGUGGUUAUGAGUGCUCGAGUAGUCGUUACGAAUUGUAUUUAUUCCAUGCAGUUCAGUUGUUUAAUGAUUCAGUAUACAACUUGUCUACUUUGUGUUUGUGUACGUAAAAGUAUGUCCAUAGUACGGUAUAAUUGUAAGAAAUAAACAGUAUAAUCGUUUAGAUGAUAAAAUGCUUUCUUUGGUAGUUCAUGCUAGGGUGAAGGAAGCGAGCAUCCAUUGCAGAAAAAAACAUAACUUGAUUCGCUACCUCCAUAACCCGUAUAAACCACCAAAGAAAUGAUUGUCUUUGUAUAUUCACUUUUCUCUCAAAAUCUGUAAUUAAUUGAAUAAAUUGAGUUAAAGUAU
rnacentral:misc_RNA from 1 species